rnacentral:rRNA from 1 species
CCUACGGGCGGCUACAGUGGGGAAUAUUGGACAAUGGGGGGAACCCUGAUCCAGCCAUGCCGCGUGUGUGAAGAAGGCCCUCGGGUUGUAAAGCACUUUCAGUGAGGAAGAACGCCUGGUGGUUAAUACCCAUCAGGAAAGACAUCACUCACAGAAGAAGCACCGGCUAACUCCGUGCCAGCAGCCGCGGUAAUACGGAGGGUGCGAGCGUUAAUCGGAAUUACUGGGCGUAAAGCGCGCGUAGGUGGCUUGAUAAGCCGGUUGUGAAAGCCCCGGGCUCAACCUGGGAACGGCAUCCGGAACUGUCAAGCUAGAGUGCAGGAGAGGAAGGUAGAAUUCCCGGUGUAGCGGUGAAAUGCGUAGAGAUCGGGAGGAAUACCAGUGGCGAAGGCGGCCUUCUGGACUGACACUGACACUGAGGUGCGAAAGCGUGGGUAGCAAACAGGAUUAGAUACCCUGGUAGUC